UAAGGAAUAUUGGACAAUGGAGGCAACUCUGAUCCAGCCAUGCCGCGUGAAGGAAUAAGGCCCUAUGGGUUGUAAACUUCUUUUAGACGGGACAAAACCCCUUUACGUGUAAAGGGUUGAUGGUACUGUCAGAAUAAGCAUCGGCUAACUUCGUGCCAGCAGCCGCGGUAAUACGAAGGAUGCAAGCGUUAUCCGGAAUUAUUGGGUUUAAAGGGUGCGUAGGCGGACUAAUAUGUCAGUGGUGAAAGCCUGCAGCUUAACUGCAGAAUUGCCAUUGAUACUGUUAGUCUUGAGUACAGUUGAGGUAGGCGGAAUGUGUCAUGUAGCGGUGAAAUGCUUAGAUAUGACACAGAACACCGAUUGCGAAGGCAGCUUGCUAAGCUGUAACUGACGCUGAGGCACGAAAGCGUGGGGAGCAAACA
rnacentral:rRNA from 1 species